rnacentral:lncRNA from 1 species
UUAACUUUUAUUUACGCUGCUGAUUUCUUUCACCAGGAUUUGGUUAAUCUUUGGCCGUAGAGGCAGAUUUUCGCUGGGUCUGUUGCUCAAUUUAGCAUUACUAAUGUUUCUUUGAUAAUUAUUACUAAUAUUUUUCUUUUGGAAUUUGUACUUGAGGGUGGGAAUCUGAAUAACAGAGCAUGAAGCUGGUACCGCAAGACGUAUGUAAUUCUUCCCCCAAAGGGGUCCAACAAGCCAUCGGGAUCCGAGGUUGGAAAUUUGGGAAUCACGAAAAUAGAGCCCUGAAGGCCAAUGAGUUUGGACAUUCUGAGAUUAAUUUAUAGCUAAGUUACAGUUUCUCAAAUUCCUUUGAUGCUAUGUUUAACGUUUAUUGUUUGUGGGUCAUGUACAUUGUGGAAGACGGCAUAGAAUGGCAUGUUUCUAUUGAACACUCUUACUUAAUUUGUGGAGCGCUUGCUGUUGGGAGUUAUUUUGAAUUGCUGAAGAUUUCCUGAAUAUAUACUAUGAUCUCAUAACUACCCGGUCAUAUGCUUAUAGAUUGUUUCGAGCUUGGUUAAGAGAAAAUAAUUAUGUGGAGAUGCUCUCAUUCGUUUGACUAUACUUUGUAUUUUGGGUACUUUAGAAUUUGUUUAGUCUCCUAGGACAUGAGCUUAACUUUGUUCCUGGCAGAUCGUGCUAUUGAACUAUGCCUGUGAUUUGUUCCUUUACUCAAUGUAUGGCUUGCUAUGUCAGUAGUAUGAAAUUCUCAAUUCCAUCCCCUGAAUCUCUAAGAAUCGAAGCAUGUUGUGUUAGGGGUUUCAUUUAAUUCUUGAGUUGAUAAAACUGAUGAUCUACUAAACUUGUUUGCAUGAUUGUUGGAAUAAGAUCAAUGAUGAUUGGGAGGUAAGCACAGUCAUGAAUCAAAAUUUAGGAAUGCUACGGGAACAUCUUGAGAGCCAUGGCUCAGCCUAAUUUGUUGGGAAGUGCAUCCAUUUGUCAGUGUUUUUCAAUUUAUUUUCAUAUUGGAUUUAAUUCUAUAACAUCAAUCGCUUGCUUUGCUUGUAAUCUCUCUUUUCGUUGUUUGAUUUUUGUGCAAGGAAUAUCAAGCAAAACUCGAGUGCUUAAGAGAAUUAUUAAGGGAGCCUGGUGAGAUUCUAUCGAAGACCUGGUUUCUAGUCGCUAGCUACUGUUGAUUCGGCAAGAAUCUUGAGACUAUCAAGACGAUUGGGCCGAUUGGGAAGAUGUCAAGUGGAGUCAUCAGCCUAGGAUUCAACAUGCGAUGUGAUGCUACGUGGCUUGUUUUAUUACAAGGCUGCGCAGGGAGGGAGAGGGCGGUUCACCAACUGCGCUGAUGUAGUACGUUGAAGCAGCGCAGGUAGGGAGAGGUGUAGUUCAUCAGCUC